rnacentral:rRNA from 1 species
CCCAGACUCCUACGGGAGGCAGCAGUGGGGAAUAUUGCACAAUGGGGGAAACCCUGAUGCAGCGACGCCGCGUGAGUGAAGAAGUAUUUCGGUAUGUAAAGCUCUAUCGGCAGGGAAGAAAGAAAUGACGGUACCUGACUAAGAAGCCCCGGCUAACUACGUGCCAGCAGCCGCGGGAAUACGUAGGGGGCAAGCGUUAUCCGGAUUUACUGGGUGUAAAGGGGGCGCAGACGGCAGCGCAAGCCAGGAGUGAAAGCCCGGGGCCCAACCCCGGGACUGCUCUUGGAACUGCGCGGCUGGAGUGCAGGAGGGGCAGGCGGAAUUCCUGGUGUAGCGGUGAAAUGCGUAGAUAUCAGGAGGAACACCGGUGGCGAAGGCGGCCUGCUGGACUGCGACUGACGUUGAGGCCCGAAAGCGUGGGGAGCAAACAGGAUUAGAUACCCCAGUAGUG